GACGAACGCUGGCGGCGUGCUUAACACAUGCAAGUCGAACGGUGAAGCUCCAGCUUGCUGGAGUGGAUCAGUGGCGAACGGGUGAGUAACACGUGAGCAACCUGCCCCUGACUCUGGAAUAAGCGCUGGAAACGGCGUCUAAUACUGGAUACGAGAAGGGUCCGCAUGGGCACUUUCUGGAAAGUUUUUCGGUUGGGGAUGGGCUCGCGGCCUAUCAGCUUGUUGGUGAGGUAAUGGCUCACCAAGGCGACGACGGGUAGCCGGCCUGAGAGGGCGACCGGCCACACUGGAACUGAGACACGGUCCAGACUCCUACGGGAGGCAGCAGUAGGGAAUCUUCCGCAAUGGGCGAAAGCCUGACGGAGCAACGCCGCGUGAGUGAAGAAGGUCUUCGGAUCGUAAAACUCUGUUAUUAGGGAAGAACAAAUGUGUAAGUAACUAUGCACGUCUUGACGGUACCUAAUCAGAAAGCCACGGCUAACUACGUG
rnacentral:rRNA from 1 species